UAUUUCACCCCCACCCCCACCGUCGAUUCCAUUUGCGUUAACCCUCCUCCCUCGCCUGCUUCUUCUACAUCACCAAUGAAGAAUGCCAUAUAUACGCCACCAUUGAAGCCACUGAUCAAAGUCAUUCCUCUUAGCCACCAUCAUCAAAUCUGUUUGCUCAAACAAUCCUACCCCGUAGCCACUAAUUUUCGUCACCGCCAUCAAUUUACUCCAUCAGUGGAUGUGGAGGUUUUCGAUUUCAUCUAUUAGGGAUCAAAUGAGUUCGAGGGCUUCCAACAUGUGUUAUUUAUGGGUUUUUGUUUGUUAAGAUAUUAUGUUGUGUUUUUCGAUUUUACUUGAUUUGAUUUAUGGGCUUUUUCGAGUAUAUUACUUGAUAACAUGUUUGAUUUACUAAUAGGCAAAUAAAUCUGCAGCAAACCGUCUCUGAACGAACCAGUGGUGUUGGUUCUUGGUGCUUUAUAAAGUUAACAGAUCUGGAAGGGCUGGUAUCAUUUUUGAAGGAAGGAAGGAUGAUGCUAUUCAGAUCUACAAGUUCAUUGAGAUAAAGAUUUGACAAGUUUCAUUCCUGAGUAGAUAUGAAGUUCAUAUGUGUUUAAAAGUAUGUCUACCAUUUGAGUUCAAAUACUCUUAUUGUUCAGAUCUUAUGAUAAAUGUUGUAUUUCAUUUUGCUUUUCAAUUAAAGUCUUGUAUAAAAGAUGUGGAUUGAAUAAUGAUGACAGAGUUGUAUAUAAUUGAAUAAAUUUAUUUUGGCAA